UCUGAGAACUUAUUCAGUGUCUUUGUUCA
rnacentral:piRNA from 1 species